rnacentral:rRNA from 1 species
UAUCCUUUGUUGCCAGCGAUUCGGUCGGGAACUCAAAGGAGACUGCCAGUGAUAAACUGGAGGAAGGUGGGGAUGACGUCAAGUCAUCAUGGCCCUUACGACCAGGGCUACACACGUGCUACAAUGGCGCAUACAAAGAGAAGCGACCUCGCGAGAGCAAGCGGACCUCAUAAAGUGCGUCGUAGUCCGGAUUGGAGUCUGCAACUCGACUCCAUGAAGUCGGAAUCGCUAGUAAUCGUGGAUCAGAAUGCCACGGUGAAUACGUUCCCGGGCCUUGUACACACCGCCCGUCACACCAUGGGAGUGGGUUGCAAAAGAAGUAGGUAGCUUAACCUUCGGGAGGGCGCUUACCACUUUGUGAUUCAUGACUGGGGUGAAGUCGUAACAAGGUAACCGUAGGGGAACCUGCGGUUGGA